rnacentral:rRNA from 1 species
UAAAACAUAGUUUUAAUGCACCGGAUCCCAUUAGAACUCCGCAAUUAAGCAUGCUUAGGAUAGAGUAGUACUGGGAUGGGUGACUACCCGGAAAGUCCUAGUGUUUUAC